AUACUUACCUGGCAGGGGAGAUACCAUGAUCACGAAGGUGGUUUUCCCAGGGCGAGGCUUAUCCAUUGCACUCCGGAUGUGCUGACCCCUGCGAUUUCCCCGAAUGUGGGAAACUCGACUGCAUGAUUUGUGGUAGUGGAGGACUGCGGUCGUGCUUUCCCCUG
rnacentral:snRNA from 1 species